ACAGCUUCGGCACCAUGUUCUUUACAAUGGGAAUGACACAGGCAAGACUAGCACAGCCCCUCGCAAGGGCUACAUGCACACUCGUGAAGCAUUGCAUAUUAAA
rnacentral:snRNA from 14 species